rnacentral:rRNA from 1 species
AUUGAACGCUGGCGGCAGGCCUAACACAUGCAAGUCGAGCGGAUGAAGGGAGCUUUCUCCUGGAUUCAGCGGCGGACGGGUGAGUAAUGCCUAGGAAUCUGCCUGGUAGUGGGGGAUAACGUCCGGAAACGGGCGCUAAUACCGCAUACGUCCUUAGUGAGAAAGGGGGGGAUCUUCGGACCUCACGCUAUCAGAUGAGCCUAGGUCGGUUUAGCUAGUUGGUGGGGUAAAGGCCUACCAAGGCGACGAUCCGUGACUGGUCUGAGUGGAUGAUCAGUCACACUGGAACUGAGAAACGGUCCAGCCUCCUACGGGAGGCAGCAGUGGGGAAUUUUGGACAAUGGGCGAAAGCCUGAUCCAGCCAUGCCGCGUGUGUGAAGAAGGUCUUCGGAUUGUAAAGCACUUUAAGUUGGGAGGAAGGGUAGUAAGUUAAUACCUUGCUGUUUUGCCGUUCCCAACAGAAUAAGCACCGGUUAACUUCGU